AGGAGAACAAUAGGAACAAGUCACUUCCCCAUUCCAAGAAUCCGCGCACACAUGCAGCUUGGCACAUAUCCCUUACCAGCCUAAAUUAGGA